rnacentral:tRNA from 1 species
GUAAAUAUAGUUUAAAACAAAACAUUAAGCUGUGGACUUAAUAAUAGAAACUCUCCCCUUCUUAUUUACC